AAACAAUGCCGGUAGUGGCCAGGGUUGCAUGGAAAAUUAAGCAGACACUUUGAAUCAACUCUUCAUAUUCGAACUGGAAACAAUGGAAGUGCGAAUAAGGUGGUGACACUAGAUCAACAAUUGCAAUUGGUAUUUUGAAUGUCAAAAUUUCAACCACAAUACAAAAAAAUAAAUGGGGAAAAAUAUAAGAACCAGUGGCUUUCAAAUUCAAAAUACUAUAUCUCAAGUAAAAAAAAAAUGGAAUGUAAUAACUUAAAGCGAGAGUGCACAAUAUCGAAUAUUAAAAUACAAAUUAAGAAAGAAAUAAUAGAUAUAAGGCAUACCGAAAAUGCUAUACUACAAGAAUACGCAGAUAAAAGACAUUUCGAGAAUCUUUAUGCCGUGGUGUAAUUUUAGAUGAAUUUAAGGAGAAAUGAGUUUGAAUAUAUCAAAAUAAGCUAAUGUAAUCCAGUGAUAAAAGAUCAGGUAGAAUUUUGUAUUGAUUAAAAAAUGCAUAAUUGAUAGACCACAAUUGAAAGACAAAUUGUCUUAAAACUUAUUCGUGUAAACCUCCAUUAGGAGAGUUGUAGAAAGAUUGGCAAAUAAAGCGUAUCAGUACAAAAUCAUAUUUAGAAUUAACUGAAAGAAAAUUGAAUACCUUCAAUUAGGGCUCCCUUUUUGCAUAUUAAUAACAACAUUUUCAUGGUGAAUUCUGCGGCCGUGUCAAAAUAUGAAAAACAUAUUGUCCAAUUUAAUCCCAACGAAAAUGCUUGGCAUGUCAGGAAGAUCCAGCUAUACCAAAUCGAGUAUGGUAUAGUGGAGGCACAGAAGAAAUAUUUGAGAAUUUCGUAAAUUAAAUCCCUACAUGUUAUAAUUUACAAUAAUUUUUGUAAGUAAUUUUAUAGUCCGAAUGGAUAUAAACGCUCCGGCUUUGAAGUAUUCGAUGCGGCACCAGCUGGUGGUAGCAGAGGAAGAGGAAGGCCUCCUCUGCGUUGAAAAGAUCAGGUGGAGAAGGACUUGGCUUCAUUUGGUGUUUCCAAUUGGUGCCGGUUAGCACGAGAAA